CGAUGUCAAAAGAAUCAUCAAGGAAUUCAAUACUUUUAAUAGGAAACAUCCAUCACAUAUUUGAAAAGCUGUGUACAUUAGGGGGAAAUCAGUUGUUUCUGUUUUGGUUAGUUUACUGUAACUUAUCACCAAUGUCAAAAUAAUCAUCAAUUUAUUAAUGGGUACAAUAACUCAGGCACAAAUAAACCAAUUGAAAUAGCACCAACCAAUGCAGUCCCAAGCUACCCAGAUAUGUUUAGGGAGUUGUUAAGCAGCAGAGCAGCAGACAAUUUCACUUGCAUCGCAGGACAUCCAAAAAUAGGUUCUUCCAUCGUCAUCAAUCUGUUUAUAUGCAAAAAUGAAACGAAUAACUAAAUAUUCAGGAACCAGCUAGCAUUUCUAAUUCAUUGCAUUAUUGGUCAUUUCAUUUAAACACCCAUUUUCCUUAGCACAAUGCAAUCAGCAACCAAGCAUUUUAUAUAGAGGUAAAGAUGCGAUGGUUCUUCCCGUCCAAACAACAAUGUCCUUACUGCUAGUGCAUGCUAGUUGCCUACAAAUGAUGUUCUUGUUAAGUUUAUAAAAUCGAUGAUGUGCUUAUGACAUAUUAGUUCAAACUUAAUAGUUUAUGCAAUUGUUUCAAUUCAGUUGCAUCUACCAAGAAACACUUAUUUCAUACUUCGACUUUGGUUGGAGGAUGCAAAGAGGACUAAAAACUGAUAGUGCCAACACUUCACCUGAUCAGUGCAUACUAGAAUGUCACUUGAUAAACAAUUGUACAUAAAAUAUAUAAUCUGACCAAUGGCUAUGAACACUUAAGAAGUAGUUCAAUCUCACUUAGGAAAUGAUUAAAUCUGUUCCUUUGCCUAUACAACAAAAGGAUGAAUCUAGGUAUUUAAAGUAAAUAAAGAAUCUUCUUUGGGAAACAAAAUAUGUUAUUAGAAGAUAGAGUAAUAAUUCAUGAGAUAAUAAGAUAAUAAAAUACUACCCUAUAGUUCUAUGAGCUGUGUAGAGUAAUAAUUCUCUUAUAUAAUUUUAACAGUACCAGAAUAACAAUAAUUCAAGGUUCCAUACAUGAUGACAACCAAGUUAAAUGAUCAUGCAACACUGAAAUUAAGAAGGUAGGGAGACUGUACAAUGUUUCUUAUACAAAAUAACUUUGUAUAGAUGGAUGCAAGAUAGAAAAUGUGAUAUCAAGAUAAAUAAGAUACAAAAUGGGACAUUGGGUUCGAUGAAAUAUUUAUUUUGUACAAACCAUAUAUAAGAAAUAUAGUAGCUUUGAGGAAGUAUCUUCCUAACUUCAACUUGGUAAGCAGGAAUAAUAGAUCAUAUGACACCUAUUUAGAUGUCGACUAAAUUAAUCUGGCUACUGGAAAAAAUAUAUGGGAUCCAAACAGGGUAGUUUCCUCUUUGUUUUGUAGUCACUCACAUAUUCUUUGUUAAUUGGUUUUCGUUUUUCUUAUUAGAUUGUUGCAAAAUAUCUUCAAUGUAUUAGCUACAACUAAACAGAUCCACAUACAAAUAGGAGAGACCGUCAGCAAAUGAACCAUGAGCAGAUCUAACCAAAAAAGGUAUGAUAUACAUGGAAGUUUCUUAGAAGCUAGCAACCAUUCAAAGGGGAAGGAUGACGAUUCUUGCACCUUAAACGACUAGGGUCCAGGGCGGACUACCAAAUCGAAGGAGGACGAUGCUAGUGACACGAUUCGUUUGGUGUUCUCGGCACCAAGCUUGGAGGUCAGAACGAACCAACAUAUGAGUUUUGGUGAUAGCAACCUUGGGGCGAAAGGCUAGUGUAGUUGUUCGUCGGUGCUCUGUGGCGCCCACGACAUCCGACGCCGCCGGCUGGUUGCUGCUUUGCGUAAGGAAACCAAUCGAUGCGAGUGGUCCUCACCAAAAUCAGGUCGACUCCGGCAGCCUGGUGUGGUGGUGCCUAGCUUCGCGUCCGACAUCCUAGCCGCGGGCGUGCCGACGGUGUGGUGGAGAUGGUUGCCAGGGGAACGGAGAUGGAGAGGAAAUCUCCGCAUUGGCGUGGGAUUCACUGCCGACCGGUGUAUAGCGGACGUCUGGAGUCCGCCAAAAUUAGGGGAUGGA
rnacentral:lncRNA from 1 species